AACGAACGCUGGCGGCGCGCCUAAUACAUGCAAGUCGAGCGAGAAGACGUAGCAAUACGUUUGUAAAGCGGCGAACGGGUGAGGAAUACAUGGGUAACCUACCCUCGAGUGGGGAAUAACUAGCCGAAAGGUUAGCUAAUACCGCGUACGCUCCUUGGACUUCGGUUCAGGGAGGAAAGCGAUACCGUGGGUAUCGCGCUCUUGGAUGGGCUCAUGUCCUAUCAGCUUGUUAGGUGAGGAACGGCUCACCAAGGCUUCGACGGGUAGCUGGUCUGAGAGGACGAUCAGCCACACUGGCACUGCGACACGGGCCAGACUCC
rnacentral:rRNA from 1 species